rnacentral:rRNA from 1 species
GACAGAGGUCCCGAGCGUUAGGCGGAAUCACUGGGCUUAAAGCGUGUGUAGGCGGAUGCCUAAGUACCUUGUGAAAUCCCACGGCUCACCCGUGGAACUGCUUGGUAUACUGGGUGUCUUGAGCCACUUAGGGGCUACCGGAACAAAUGGUGGAGCGGUGAAAUGCGUAGAUAUCGAGAGGAACACCUGCGGCGAAGGCGGGUUGCUGGGCUGAUACUGACGCUGAGGCGCGAAAGCCAGGGGAGCGAACGGG